AUUGAACGCUGGCGGCAGGCCUAACACAUGCAAGUCGAGCGAGCGGCGGACGGGUGAGUACUGUCUGGGAAACUGCCUGAUGGAGGGGGAUAACUACUGGAAACGGUAGCUAAUACCGCAUACCCUCCCAUUUGCCCAGGUGGGAUUAGCUAGUAGGUUGGGUAACGGCUCACCUAGGCGACGAUCCCUCGCUGGUCUGAGAGGAUGACCAGCCACACUGGAACUGAGACACGGUCCAGACUCCUACGGGAGGCAGCAGUGGGGAAUAUUGCACAAUGGGCGAAAGCCUGAUGCAGCAAUGCCGCGUGAGUGAAGAAGGCCUUCGGGUUGUAAAGCACUGUCAGCGGGGAGGCGGUACCCGAAGAAGAAGCACCGGCUAACUCCGUGCCAGCAGCCGCGGUAAUAC
rnacentral:rRNA from 1 species